AGAGGAAAUGGAGCUGGCAGGGUGCCCAGAUGGCCAAGAGGGCCAGUGACAUCCUGGCUUUUAUCAGAAGUAGUGUGGCCAGCAGGACCAGGGCAGUGAUUGUCCCCCUGUACUCAGCACUGGUGAGGCCGUGCCUCAAGUCCUGUGUUCACUUUUGGGCCACUC